GUCUGCUCUCUCUCGCACUCCCCGCACCCACGACUCGAUGAGCUUGCCUCUCCUUUCUCCGUUCGGCGUCGCCUGGGCUCUUCCUUUGUCUUCAUCAAUCGCACCCAGCAGAGGAGCUCCGCCGCGGUGGCGCCGGCCGCGAGGGCGGACUACGGUGGUGCGCAGCGGCAGAUUGGGGGCGGCGGCAAUAAGAACAGGGGCAGCAGCAACGGGAAUAGGAGGGUGGUCAAUGACGAUGACGAUUCGGACGUCGAGAUGCUAAGCAUCUCAAGCGGGGACGAGGAUUCUGCUAAGGAUCGCGCGGGUUCGAGGGCCAGAGGUGGCGCGAUUUUUGUUCAAGGCCCGGGAGGGACGAUGACAGAGCGUGGGAUGGCGAAGAACCUGAUUGCUGGAGGCACGUGUACGAAGACGAGGUGAGUUCGAGAUGGUAAACCUAAGGAGAAAGGGAGAAGUUUCAGAGCACGACAAGAACGAGGGAUGGAGGAGGGUCUUCCAUGUCCGCUUCGGUUCCAGGGGGAGAAGAAGAAGAGAGAUUGAUUGUUGAAGCUCGAUCGAGGGAGAAAGAGAAAUAGAAAGGAUCAUCUUUGGGUGUGGAAAUAUUACCUUUUCUUGUUUUUUCGUUGACCCUUUUUCUUAUCGUUGUCGUUGUGAUCGAUAGAGAGUAGCGAGAACGAGAAAGAUGGUGUUGGUGUUGGCAUUGGGGGAUCUACACAUACCGCACAAGGCGCCUGAUCUGCCCGCCAAGUUCAAGUCCAUGCUCGUCCCUGGCAAGAUCCAACACAUCAUCUGCACCGGCAAUUUAUGCAUCAAAGUGGGUCCCUUUAUCCUUCUCUUGUUGUUGUUGUUGAUUGAAUUCCCCGACCCAUUUGCGAUCGUGAUCUUAUUUGGAUUUCUUUUAGCAAUUUCGCGUUGCUCGGUCGAUGUUGUCUUUGUUUUCUUUUUCGUUUUUGGCUGCAGCUCCCAUGAGGUGAUGUAGCGAUGGCAUUUUUUGAUUCAUUGUUGUUUUCGUUUGAUGUCAUUUUAGUCUAUGCCCUCUAGCAUAUUGUGGGGAUUUUUUGUUUUGGUAGGGGGUUUGGGGGUUACAAGCAUUAUUCUGUUGGUGAUUUUUCCUUUCCUUAUUUUUGGCCUCGCUUAUGGGGCCUUACCUUGCGGCUCAUGGAUGCAGUUGAAAGUUUUGUUUGAA